rnacentral:misc_RNA from 1 species
AAGUAAAAGUCGUAACAAGGUUUCCGUAGGUGAACCUGCGGAAGGAUCAUUAUUGAAAUUAUAGGCGAGGGUUGUAGCUGGCCUCUCGGGGCAUGUGCACGCCCGAGCCCUUAAUCCACACACACCUGUGAACCUAUUGUAAGGGCCCGUAAAAAAGGCCUUUACGUCUUAUCACCAACCCAUCGUAUGUCUCAUAGAAUGUAAAUAUAUGUCCUCGCCUUAAAAAGCGUUGAUAAACUUAUACAACUUUCAACAACGGAUCUCUUGGCUCUCGCAUCGAUGAAGAACGCAGCGAAAUGCGAUAAGUAAUGUGAAUUGCAGAUUUUCAGUGAAUCAUCGAAUCUUUGAACGCACCUUGCGCUCCUUGGUAUUCCGAGGAGCAUGCCUGUUUGAGUGUCAUUAAAUUCUCAAACUCCGAUCGAUUUGUUUCGACUUCGGGGCUUGGAUUUGGAGCGUGCUGGCGUCGGUCGGCUCCUCUUAAAUGCAUCAGCGGAAUCUAACGUUCCGGACGUCAGUGUGAUAAUCACGUUGCGCUGUCUUUCGGUCCGAAAAGCCCGCUCACAAUGGUCUUCGGACAACUUCAUAUCAAAUUUGACCUCAAAUCAGGUAGGACUACCCGCUGAACUUAAGCAUAUCAAUAAGCGGAGGAAAAGAAACUAACAAGGAUUCCCCUAGUAACUGCGAGUGAAGCGGGAAAAGCUCAAAUUUAAAAUCUGGCGGUCUUGCGGCCGUCCGAGUUGUAAUCUGGAGAAGCGUUUAUCCGCGUCGGACCGUGUACAAGUCUUCUGGAAGGGAGCGUCGUAGAGGGUGAGAAUCCCGUCUUUGACACGGACAACCGAUGCUUUUGUGAUGCGCUCUCGAAGAGUCGAGUUGUUUGGGAAUGCAGCUCAAAAUGGGUGGUAAAUUCCAUCUAAAGCUAAAUAUUGGCGAGAGACCGAUAGCGAACAAGUACCGUGAGGGAAAGAUGAAAAGCA